CGUAAUCUGUGCACUGUGCAGUAUUUUAUAUUUUAUGGACUGACUAGAUUUAUAUGCAUAUUUAAAUGAUAUUUAAUGUUUUAAAACAUUGAUAGAGAAGGUUUGUCGUAUUUUUUUUCGAUAGAGUUAAUGAAUAAAACCCACUGUUUAACAAACUAACACAUGGGUCUUGCAGAUAUCGGAAUUACUGAAUCCAAAGCGCAAGGUGUAGACAGUUGAAUAACUGCACUGAUUGCAUCGUGUAUACGCAAUACGCAAUCUAUAAUUGUUUUAUUAUAUGAUACUGACUGAAGGAUCCUUUUAAAACAUCAGUAUUAUUUAUAAUGUGUCUAUCUGUUCUUGGGUGUAAUGCACAGGUGUGUAUGUGGAUAUCAACUUAAGAAUUAUCUGGAACGAUCGUGUACUAAAGCGGUCCAUGAUCAACUUAGGAUUAAUAAAUAAAGGAACUCUAUGAUCUUGGGAAAUUAAACCCAGUGUACUGCCUAAAAGUGGAUUUUAAAUGUAGUUCAGGAUUCAAGGGGAAUCUACAUUUAAAUAAAUUAAAAAGACUGUCGUGUAAUGUUUACUUCCAAUGCAGCGAACACAAUGUGAAAGCGCUGCUGGGACUUAUUGAAUAUUUUAUCGAUUUUCCCAAAUAAAUUUGGAUUAAAAUUUACGUAAAUAGUGCAUUUAUGUGUUAAAGGAUAUACAUACAAUCUAAUAAAGUUUGGAUGUGGGAAUAAUACUGCGGAUGCAAAUAUUAUAAAUCUCGUGAGUGCAUCUCUACAUGACGUAAACAAAUUUAACGCGCGCAUAUUAGUGUGUCAAGGGGUUAUUAAAGGAUAUGGGUGUUUUAUGACACUGAACACCUUUAAUCGUAAACUCGCCCAGUUUGUGAAGAAGGAGAUACGCAUGACUCAUUAUGAAUCAGAUUAAUAUGAUAACGGCAUAGUAACAAUAUUUUUGUUAUUUAAUAGGUGGAUCGUUCUGUAUUGAGGAUAAUAAAAAAAAUAUUCUUUUUAUUAUUAAUAAAUACCUCAAAAAUGUAUAACCCAACAAGGAUAAGAUUUAUAAGAAAUUAAGCAUUUUGAUUUAUUAAAUAAAUAAUACAUUGCAGUGGAUGAUGGAUAAUUAUUACUUUAUAAAGUGACAACAAUGAAUUUUAUCGACACGGCAUUUUACAGAACGAACAUCGAAGUCAUUUCAUAGGAUUAUUGUACGCAAUUCACACAUCGGAUUAUUUGACUAAAUUUGACGCCAAGUGAUCUUCAGCCUCUGCUCAUAUCAAAUUUUUAUGGUGAUAAAUUAUAAAAUUAUUACAAUUAGCAGUUAGAUACAAAAGAUUUGUUCUUCUUUGGAAUGUGUAUACAAUAACAGAUUAUUUGUACGCGAUAACCGUGCCGAGGAUUAAAUAACGUAUAUCAUAACUAAUGGUUUGUUUUGAACGACGUUGGUUCACAUGAUGUUCAGCAGUGAUUUAGAUAUCAGUAUCUGUGUAUACAUAAUGUUUUGCAGUUGGAAUAGAGAGUUACGUUAUAAAUAAUCCACUGUGUUGAUUUGAAAGAUGUUCAUUAAAAUGAUGUUGUGAUUUGGAUAUGGAUACAUAUUGUACGCUUUAUAUUAAGCAUAAUGCUUUGCAGUUCGAAUAGCUUUGCAUUAUAAAAAUAAUGUUUUGUUUUGAUACAAGUUCAUUCCGUUUAUAUAUAAUGUUGCAUGUGGAAUAACGUUACAUGUUAUGCAGCUCCUACCGUUUUGAUUGUCGAUGUAUGUAUGUAUGUUUUGAAUCCGAUGUACCUUCGAAUUAUCAUGAAAAUGUGACAUUUGUUAAACUUGGAAUAAUAGAAACCGUAACAUUCAAGAAUAACUAAAAUUGGAAGUUACCCAUAAAAAGUUUAAUACGACUCGUCUGUUUUACAUUAUGUAACGUAAUGUUGCUGUAAAUACUAUGUUACUUUUAGAAUCAUGUUACGUUGGUUAACAUGCCUAUUAUUCCCUCUUUUAUGUGCACAGAUGUACUCCGAGACGCAUGGAGAUUUAACAGAUCUAAGAUCCACCACAGCUUGUAAUGGUGUAAAGGCUAGAUGUACACGUCACCGUUUAAACUGUCCGGGAACGUCUGUUAUUUCUAUUGUGAAAAUAACUCUGGGAUACAAACACGGAUGUGCUGCCCUGACCGGAAUUAUGGGUUGUUUUAAUAUAGACUGUUGUCAGAAAGAAUUUCGCGAUUGUACUUUAACAUUAAAGGAGCAUGACUACCUUAAAGUAUCCAAAAGGUGUUCUGGUAGGGGAAAAUGUGGAAUAGCGGGUAUUAAGAGUGAAAAGAGAUGUAAAUCAUUUAGAACGAAUGCAUACAGUACCAUUGAAUAUAGAUGCAUUAAGCCAUUACACAAAGAUAAAUCUGAAGAGAUAACUAUUUCACCUUUAUAUAACAACAGCGGAAAUAUCACCGGUGGUAGCGAUAAUCGUACUCUUGCUGUCAAUCUUACUCUAUUUAAUACAGAUUUCUCAGCUGUAAUUUUAGGAGGUUUAACAGUGUUAAUAUCUGUUGGUAUCAUAUUAAUUGUGGCCUACUGUUUAAGACGAAUCAACAUCAACCGAAUGACGGAAAUCUACCCAUCGUUUAGUAUCAGUGACAAUAGACAUGGACCUUAUGUAUACCAGAGAACAAAUGAUAGCCCUGCGUCGGGGCUCGAACGUACUGGAAAUCUGUAUAUACAAUAUCCGAUAAGACAAUCAGUACGGAUUGAUUGCGACCAUAAGACAUUAGAACAACGUGUGACAACGGUGUGACAUUAUUAUGAUGAGUUUCGAGCGGGUUGGUGACAACCAUAAGACAUUAGAACAACUUGUGACCACGGUAUGAUAUGAUUAUGCUGAGUUUAGAACAGAUUGUUUGCGAUCGAAAGACAUUAGAACAACCUGUGACCACGGUGUGUGGAGGUGACCACGGUCUGUGGAAGUGACAGCGUAGGACUACAACAAGCGAGUGAUGGAGGUGUGUGUGAGAGAGAGAGAGAGAGAGAGAGAGAGAGAUUGGGUUUAACGUCCACUCGACACAAACUAGGUCAUUUCGGGACUAACAUAUGGUUUAAUUUUAUUUCAAUAAUUCGCUUGCGCGUAGGGGUCUUUAGCAGUGGGAGGAAACCGGAGGACCCGGAGAAAACCCACGAGGUUGGACAGGCGACCCUACUCCUUGUCACGUACAACCGGGGAAUCGAAACCCCGCCAGUUGACUCAAUGACAGACUUUAUGAUACAGCGCGUACACGCUAACCAUUCAGCCAUCCACCCCCCCCCUGAUGGAGGUGUGAAGUUGGACGGCCACAUGCAGGUUAAUUAUGCCGAACGACUUUAAAACAAGGAUGACCACGAUAUGCACUAGUGGACUCGGUGCAGGUUAAAUAUGGCAAAACGACUUUAGAACAAGGAAUGACCACGAAGUGGGAGUUAAAACAUAAUAAUGAGUUUAAUGAAGUUGGUUGAGACAACAAGUGGAGACAAUAAAAGUAAACAAUGUUGUUAAAUUUCAUUUCACCGAGGCUCUUAUUACUGUAACCCGGGUAUUAUUUAGUCCAAUUUACAAGCGUUUAAUUUCUCGAUCACUUUUAGAAAAUAAACAACCCAAUUGAUUACUGAUGUAUAUUGAUUGAUUUUAAACAGUGGUCAGUAAAUUAAAUAAUUGUGAAUUGGACACACAUCAAUAUUAAUCAGUCAGAUAUAAACUGGACACAAGUACAAAUUAGAUAAUUUGUUGUGGUUUUAUAUGAUAUUUACAAAUUUUUAAACAAAGAUUUAAUAGUAAACGAAUGUGAAAGAAAUGAGUGCUAGAUACACAAGAUUAAAUGAUACCUGGGUUACAGCGUAUGUGGCUGUUUGACAGCGUAAAUUGAUUGACAUACGUUUACAAGAUGUGACACAAAAUAAGUCCUGUCUUGCUGUCGAUUUACACAAACACAAUAUUAUGCGAGCACAGUGAUAUAUUUCGAUUUUGAAAGUUGCACCUAAAUUCUUGGAUUUUUGCCAUUAUUAUAAUUUACGUUUGUUAUGAUUAGACAGUAUUACAAGGAAAAUAACUACAGUAAAUAGACAAUAAAUAUUGAAGUGAUUGCAGGGGACGGUGGGGGGGGGGAGGGUCAGGUGUUAUUUUAAUAUCUGUUUUGCUCCUCCGUAAUGUUAUGUAGUAAAGAAAUGUUUCAAGGGAGACAACUUGUGUAAAUAGAAAAAAAAUGUUAUAUUUGUUGUGUCAUUUCCAUGGUCAUAGAAAUAUUUUCAGUAUGAGCUAUUUGACUGAUAUUGGACAAUGCAAGGGUCUUGCGAUCAUAGCAUGUUGUUUUGUGAACAAACUGUGCAUUUGUUUGGAUUCAUUGACAAUGUUUUGUUUGGUUGGUUUUUUUAAAUUGUAAACUGUAAUAAAAUGUAUAUAUUAAAGAUC